rnacentral:misc_RNA from 1 species
GUGAAUCAUCGAAUCUUUGAACGCAAAUUGCACUCUCCGGUUUUCCGGGAGAGUAUGCCUGUUUGAGGGUCAGCCUAAAAAAAACCGACUUGGUUGCGGUUUUAUGGUGCUUUUCGUCGGAGAUGGGUAAUUUUAAAUCUUUUUGUUUUAAGCGCUUUAAAAUUUUCUUUUGGUUCAAUGACGGUUUUUAAGAUCUUUUUUUUCACACGUUUAAGGUAU